GACGAACGCUGGCGGCGUGCUUAACACAUGCAAGUCGAACGGAAAGGCCCUGCUUUUGUGGGGUGCUCGAGUGGCGAACAGGUGAGUAACACGUGAGUAACCUGCCCUUGACUUUGGGAUAACUUCAGGAAACUGGGGCUAAUACCGGAUAGGAGCUCCUGCUGCAUGGUGGGGGUUGGAAAGUUUCGGCGGUUGGGGAUGGACUCGCGGCUUAUCAGCUUGUUGGUGGGGUAGUGGCUUACCAAGGCCUUGACGGGUAGCCGGCCUGAGAGGGUGACCGGCCACAUUGGGACUGAGAUACGGCCCAGACUCCUACGGGAGGCAGCAGUGGGGAAUAUUGCACAAUGGGCGGAAGCCUGAUGCAGCAACGCCGCGUGCGGGAUGACGGCCUUCGGGUUGUAAACCGCUUUCGCCUGUGACGAAGCGUGAGUGACGGUAAUGGGUAAAGAAGCACCGGCUAACUACGUGCCAGCAGCCGCGGUGAUACGUAGGGUGCGAGCGUUGUCCGGAUUUAUUGGGCGUAAAGGGCUCGUAGGUGGUUGAUCGCGUCGGAAGUGUAAUCUUGGGGCUUAACCCUGAGCGUGCUUUCGAUACGGGUUGACUUGAGGAAGGUAGGGGAGAAUGGAAUUCCUGGUGGAGCGGUGGAAUGCGCAGAUAUCAGGAGGAACACCAGUGGCGAAGGCGGUUCUCUGGGCCUUUCCUGACGCUGAGGAGCGAAAGCGUGGGGAGCGAACAGGCUUAGAUACCCUGGUAGUCCACGCUGUAAACGGUGGGUACUAGGUGUGGGGUCCAUUCCACGGGUUCCGUGCCGUAGCUAACGCUUUAAGUACCCCGCCUGGGGAGUACGGCCGCAAGGCUAAAACUCAAAGGAAUUGACGGGGCCCCGCACAAGCGGCGGAGCAUGCGGAUUAAUUCGAUGCAACGCGUAGAACCUUACCUGGGUUUGACAUGGAUCGGGAGUGCUCAGAGAUGGGUGUGCCUCUUUUGGGGUCGGUUCACAGGUGGUGCAUGGCUGCCGUCAGCUCGUGUCGUGAGAUGUUGGGUUAAGUCCCGCAACGAGCGCAACCCUUGUUCACUGUUGCCAGCACGUUAUGGUGGGGACUCAGUGGAGACCGCCGGGGUCAACUCGGAGGAAGGUGGGGAUGACGUCAAGUCAUCAUGCCCCUUAUGUCCAGGGCUUCACGCAUGCUACAAUGGCUGGUACAGAGAGUGGCGAGCCUGUGAGGGUGAGCGAAUCUCGGAAAGCCGGUCUCAGUUCGGAUUGGGGUCUGCAACUCGACCUCAUGAAGUCGGAGUCGCUAGUAAUCGCAGAUCAGCAACGCUGCGGUGAAUACGUUCCCGGG
rnacentral:rRNA from 1 species